UACAGAGGUCUCAAGCGUUGUUCGGAUUCAUUGGGCGUAAAGGGCUCGUAGGUGGCUUUGUAAGUCGGAGGUGAAAUCCCACGGCUCAACCGUGGACACGCCUUCGAAACUGUGAAGCUUGAGGCUGGGAGAGGAAAUCGGAAUUCCUGGUGUAGCGGUGAAAUGCGUAGAUAUCAGGAGGAACACCGGUGGCGAAGGCGGAUUUCUGGACCAGUUCUGACACUGAUGAGCGAAAGCCAGGGGAGCAAACAGG
rnacentral:rRNA from 1 species